CGGCCGCGUCGACGCAAGUCGAACGAAGAGCGAUGGAAGCUUGCUUCUAUCAAUCUUAGUGGCGAACGGGUGAGUAACGCGUAAUCAACCUGCCCUUCAGAGGGGGACAACAGUUGGAAACGACUGCUAAUACCGCAUACGAUCUGACCUCGGCAUCGGGGAUAGAUGAAAGGUGGCCUCUAUUUAUAAGCUAUCACUGAAGGAGGGGAUUGCGUCUGAUUAGCUAGUUGGAGGGGUAAUGGCCCACCAAGGCGAUGAUCAGUAGCCGGUCUGAGAGGAUGAACGGCCACAUUGGGACUGAGACACGGCCCAGACUCCUACGGGAGGCAGCAGUGGGGAAUCUUCCGCAAUGGACGAAAGUCUGACGGAGCAAC
rnacentral:rRNA from 1 species